rnacentral:rRNA from 1 species
GCACAAGCGGUGGAGCAUGUGGUUCAAUUCGACGCAACGCGAAGAACCUUACCUGGGCUCGAAAUGCAGAUGACAUCCGAUGAAAGUCGGCUCCCGCAAGGGCAUCUGUAUAGGUGCUGCAUGGCUGUCGUCAGCUCGUGUCGUGAGAUGUUGGGUUAAGUCCCGCAACGAGCGCAACCCUCGUCCUCUGUUGCCAUCAGGUCAGGCUGGGCACUCUGAGGAGACUGCCGGUGAUAAACCGGAGGAAGGUGGGGAUGACGUCAAGUCAGCAUGGCCUUUAUGUCCAGGGCCACACACGUGCUACAAUGGCGGAUACAAAGCGCUGCAAGCCCGCGAGGGUGAGCCAAUCGCAUAAAGUCCGUCUCGGUUCGGAUUGCAGGCUGCAACUCGCCUGCAUGAAGUUGGAAUCGCUAGUAAUCGCGGAUCAGCAUUGUCGCGGUGAAUACGUUCCCGGGC